GGAACGAUGAUCGGAUUAUUGGGCGUAAGCGAGCGCAGGCGGCUUCUCUAAGUCUGAUGUGAAUCCCCCCGGCUCAACCGGGGAGGGUCAUUGGAAAACUGGGAGACUUGAGUGCAGUAAGAGGAGAGUGGAAUUCCAUGUGUAGCGGUGAAAUGCGUAGAUAUAUGGAGGAACACCGGUGGCGAAGGCGGCUCUCUGGUCUGUAACUGACGCUGAGGCUCGAAAGCGUGGGGAGCAAACAGGAUUAGAUACCCUGGUAGUCCACGCCGUAAACGAUGAGUGCUAAGUGUUGGAGGGUUUCAGCCCUUCAGUGCUGCACCAAACGCAUUAAGCGCUCCGCCUGGGGGGUAGGACCGCAGGGUUAAAACUCAAAGGAAUUGACGGGGCCCCGCACAACCGUGGAACAAGGUGUUUAAUUUCGAGCCACCGGAAAAAACCUAACCGGGUCUUGAAAUCCUUUGACCAUUCUGAAGUUAGAGUUUUCCUUUCGGGAACAAAGUGAAGGGGGGGGCAGGGUUGUGGUCGGCUCGGGUGGGGAAAGGUUGGUUUAGGUCCCCGAACCGGGCGCACCCCUUAAUCGUUUGUUUGCCAUCAUUUAGGUCGGGCACCUCUACCGAGACUGGCCGGUGACAAACCGGAGGAAGGUGGGGAUGACGUCAAAUCAUUCAUGCCCCUUAUGACCUGGGCUACACACGUGCUACAAUGGGAAGUACAACGAGUCGCUAGACCGCGAGGAUCAUGCAAAUCUCUUAAAGCUUCUCUCAGUUCGGAUUGCAGGCUGCACUCGCCUGCAUGAAGCCGGAAUCGCUAGUAAUCGCGGAUCAACACGCCACGGUGAUAUCUCUCUCCCGGGGUAUAAA
rnacentral:rRNA from 1 species